rnacentral:tRNA from 1 species
AAUAAAGUGCCUGAAGAAUAGGGUUGUCUUGAUAGGACAAAUAAAGAGAUCAAUUCACCUUUGUUA